GGGAAAGGUGGAAAUAUGCUUUAAGAGCACUAAUUUAUAUGGUGUAGUGAAAGUUCAUGUAAUUUUUUCAAAAUCGAAUAUGCGGAAAGGAGCUGUUUGGAAUGAAGAUUUACAAGAAGAAGUAAUUCCAUCUAAUUGAAUUAGUGAUAAAAUUGUUUGUCGGCAUCCAGCUACCAAAGCAUUGACUGCACUAAAAUGCAGAGAAGAAUAGGCUUAAGUUUAUACAAAUAAAAACUAAAUUCUCUUCAGAUAAAUCAAUUACAGAUAAAUUAAUUAGUUAAUUGGUGGAACGUCUUCUAAAGAUAGAAUACACAAAAUUAUGCUGAGAGUAUUUUCGAAAAGUUAUAUGGUCUCUAUGGAUAUGAAGGGC